rnacentral:rRNA from 1 species
AGGACGAACGCUGGCGGCGUGCCUAACACAUGCAAGUCGAGCGGGACAUACGACGGAGCAGAAGUUUCGGAUGGAAGCGAAGAUGUAUGUUCUAGCGGCGGACGGGUGAGUAACGCGUGAGCAACCUGUCCUUCACAGGGGGAUAACACAGCGAAAGUUGUACUAAUACCGCAUGAGACCACACUGGGACAUCCCAGAGGGGUCAAAGGAGCAAUCCGGUGAAGGGUGGGCUCGCGUCCGAUUAGAUAGUUGGUGAGGUAACGGCCCACCAAGUCGACGAUCGGUAGCCGACCUGAGAGGGUGAUCGGCCACAUUGGGACUGAGACACGGCCCAAACUCCUACGGGAGGCAGCAGUGGGGAAUAUUGGGCAAUGGGGGGAAACCCUGACCCAGCAACGCCGCGUGAGGGAAGAAGGUUUUCGGAUCGUAAACCUCUGUCCUUGGUGAAGAGAAAGAGACGGUAGCCAAGGAGGAAGCCCCGGCUAACUACGUGCCAGCCGCAGC